CACUAACACCCAUGAGAGCAGUAAGCACUCCUGGCCUAAAAGAUCCACUCACUCCCUUAAGAAGUUCUAGCCGGUCUUCCACAAUACCUUGCGCUUUCAUUUCCUAGUAUCGUAUUUCAUCAAAGGUGAUAGAAAGAGGUGUAAAGGGAAGGACCAUCCCUUUUUGGCUCUGGUUAGAAUCAGCCACAACAUGUCUAGAGCCUGCUGUGCUAUUUCUUUCCUGAGCUAUGCUACCUAGUGGAAUUAUGGAAUAAAGGGUUAGCAAAAACCUUCAAGAAAUGCCAAUGGAAAUCUUUGCAUCAAAGUAGGUUUCUUCAGACAUUGCUGGCUGAGAUUUUCCAAAUGCUGCAAACAUUGAACAGAUUGCUCAGAAUAGAAGUUUGAUGCUUGAAAUGGUCAAAAUAUUUCAGAAAUUCAAAUGGAGAGUUUUACUCACGCUGGAGAUAGGUGAGCGCCCCAGUGAAAAGAAUGUUGAACAAGAAGACAUAUCCGAUCAGUGCAGCCAGACCAAUCCAGUACCAUUUCGCCUCAGGAAAUACUCCACGAGACUCCAAGACACUUAUUCCUAGCGGCUCCGUUGAUCCAGGAGAAAUCUGUUACAAUUUUGAAUGAGAGAUGGCUAUCAGAAAUACCUCUUGAAAUGAUGAAUCCACCCAGCACCAUUAGCACAAGGAGUGCAAAAGAUCCAAAAGUAUUGGCAACAAUCAUGUUCCUACCUAGCGCUGCAAUGAACCGAAAUAAAGCAGAUGCC